CGCGUAGGCGGGAAUGCAAGUCAGAUGUGAAAUCUGGGGGCUCAACCCUCAAACUGCAUUUGAAACUGUAUUUCUUGAGUGAUGGAGAGGCAAGUGGAAUUCCUAGUGUAGCGGUGAAAUGCGUAGAUAUUAGGAGGAACACCAGUGGCGAAGGCGACUUGCUGGACAUUAACUGACGCUGAGGCGCGAAAGCGUGGGGAGCGAACA
rnacentral:rRNA from 1 species